UCACACUGUGCACUUUUAGGCGGAUUCGGAUCGAAAGGUCCCGUCUGCGUCUUCAUUUUAAACACGAGUUGAUGUAUGUCAAAAUUUAUAACAAAAAAAACUUUCAACAACGGAUCUCUUGGCUCUCGCAUCGAUGAAGAACGCAGCGAAAUGCGAUAAGUAAUGUGAAUUGCAGAAUUCAGUGAAUCAUCGAAUCUUUGAACGCAUCUUGCGCUCUCUGGUAUUCCGGAGAGCAUGUCUGUUUGAGUGUCAUGAACUCUUCAACCCACCAGUUUCUAGUGAACUGUCGUGGUGCUUGGAUUUUGAGCGUCUGCUGCUUCUUGAAGUCAGCUCGUUCGUAAUACAUUAGCUUUCCUGAUCUCGAACUCGGAUUGACUCGGCGUAAUAGACUAUUCGCUGAGGACAGGCCUCGUGCUUGGCCGAGUCGGGGCAAUAGAAAAGCUUCCAACAUGUCUUUUUUAAGAUUAGACCUCAAAUCAGAUAGGACUACCCGCUGAACUUAAGCAUAUCAAUAAGCGGAGGAA
rnacentral:rRNA from 1 species